CGCACAUUGCGCCCUUUGGCAUUCCGAAGGGCAUGCCUGUUCGAGCGUCAUUAUCAACCUUCAAACCCCGUGUUUGGCGUUGGGCCUACGUCGUGCCAGCUCGCGACCGGCUCCAAAGACAAUGACGGCGUCCGUGGGACCCUCGGUGCAACGAGCUUUUUCCAAAGCACGCGUCGAAGCGGAUCUGCGGGGGCCGGUCUCUGAUGUUCCACAUCACUUCUCAGGUUGACCUCGGAUCAGGUAGGGAUACCCGCUGAACUUAA
rnacentral:misc_RNA from 1 species